rnacentral:tRNA from 1 species
CAAGUCUCUGGCAUUGUGGGAGGAUUCUUUACCAUCUGAGCCCCCAGGGAAGCCCAAGAAUACUGGAGUGGGUAGCCUAUCCCUUCUCUAGGGGAACUUCCCAAUCCAGGAAUCCAACCAGGGUCUCCUGCAUUGCAGGCAGAUUCUUUACCAGCUGAGUCAUUGGGAAGCCCAAUUUUAGGCCUUCACAGUCUAAUUCUCAUUUGUCCAAUCGGGUAGCUGCCGACUGCUAUUACCUUGAACUGCUCGCUGAGUUUAUGCAAAGUAAUUUUAACAGGUAUUUGCCAGUUGCCUGAAGUGGAGACUCAACUGAAGGCUUUAAUAAUCCUUUAUUAGGCAGAUACCCACAUAUCUUUAUGGACAGACAAUGUACAGUUUGGCAUCAUUUAAAAAUGCCACCCAGCCUAUCAACUGAUGCCUAGAGAAUGUGAGCCUGAAAGAUAACAAUGUGUAGGCUGAGGCCACAGAUGUCACGUCAGUCAUCCUUGGCGGUUUUCUUGCACUGACAUUGGGAAGCAGCUUAUGGUCUCAGGAUGGACCGAAAAAUGAUUUUCGUAUUACUACUGUCAGGUUAUAUUUCCAGAGAACCUGUUGCAACACGGCGUACAGAGACCGCUGUCACUUUGGACUCACCAGGUUAUAUUUCCAGAGAACCUGUUGCAAACACGGCGUACAGAGACCGCUGUCACUUUGGACUUACCAGGUAAGUUACCAACCAAAGGAGAUGGGUAAUAGAUUUCCAGCCAUUAGCAUCAUAUCUGUGUAUUUAAUAAGCACCUAUCUGUGUGAUAUUCUAUGAUACAUGAGUCAAAUUAAAGCAACAACACUGAAAAGAAACAUUGCCAGGUUACCUCUGGCUCUUGGAAUUGGGGUAAUUUUUUUCUGCUAUUUCAGUUCAGUUUAGUUCAGUCAUUCAGUUGUGUCCAACUCUUUGCGACCCCAUGAAUUGCAGCACGCCAGGCCUCCCUGUCCAUCACCAACUCCCGGAGUUCACCCAGAC